UACGUAGGGGGCUAGCGUUGUCCGGAACCACUGGGCGUAAAGGGCGCGUAGGCGGCCAUUCAAGUCAGGGGUGAAAGCCUGUGGCUCAACCACAGAAUUGCCUUUGAUACUGUUUGGCUAGAGACCGGAAGAGGUAAGUGGAACUGCGAGUGUAGAGGUGAAAUUCGUAGAUAUUCGCAAGAACACCAGUGGCGAAGGCGGCUUACUGGUCCGGUUCUGACGCUGAGGCGCGAAAGCGUGGGGAGCAAACAGG
rnacentral:rRNA from 1 species